CUACUAUUACCUUCUGUUUUGAAAUGAAUUGGAAAGUGUGCUGUUAUGAAAUUGCCUUCACCAAUAAACCUACUGAUUUUCUAGUGGUACGAGCAUAACACAUAAUGUUGUGUGUGUUAGGAUCACGCCUUGCUGAGACAAAAGAUUUUUAUUUAAGUAGAGAAAGAGUAUAGAGGUAAACCCAUUAUUCACUGGAUUUUGAAUUGGGUGUUAUUAGUCUGGGGAUUUCUUAAUUACAAAAUAAAUAGAUGUACUGGUUUUUGCUUAUAAGAGGGUGAUAUUAUCAAUUGCUUGACUUCUCAGGAUACACAUUUUCACGUGACAUGUUAAUUAUUGGGUACAAACUUUCUAGAUUUUUUUUAAUUCUUAUUUUUGGGAUUUGUCUACAGUUGUGUAAGUUGGGAUUUUUUAUUCUUGUUACUUGUGCAGUGUGUGCAAUGUUUUGGGGCUUGUGACACGCCUUCUUUGUUUCACUUGAUUUCCUUUAAGGAUGAAUUGAGAUGGCAUGGUUUGGCUUUUGAUGCUGCAUUGGUGUGUGGAGUGAUAAGAAUUUCACUUCUAAAAGGAUACUGGAGCAUCUGAAUGUGACAAAAGACUAGUCUGAUUAUCUGUGGUAUCUGACCAGGAAAAAAGUGGCUGAAGGUAUAGACUUUGAUAGACACUAUGGUAGGCUUGUUAUCAUGUUUGGCGUUCCAUUCCAAUGCACGUAAAGCAGUUUAGUAUCAGUAUGUCUUAUGCUUCACUUUCCCCUUUUUUUGUGUGAUAACCGUGGUAUCCGAGUCAGCUUUGCGCGCACCUCGACUAAUUCCACGGGAUACCUACCACCUCCCGAGAAACAGAUACUAGGUAGGUAACUCUGUUCACUAAGGUUUCACUUUCUUUAUGAUCUGAUGAAAAAAAUCUCUCUUUUUAAUUAGAGGAAUCGAAAUGAUGUUCUCUUUUUAAUCAGAUAAGCUUUUAGGCUAAAAAUUACACCUUGACUUGUAUUAAAAUUGUAGAAUAUUUCUUGCUCGAUAGGAGUAUCUGAGGGGGGCUUUCUAGAUUAAAGAGUGAAAUUUUCUGAUGUUUGAUGCUUUGGUACUUCCAGACUCAGUUAUUGUCCUUACAAUACGUAUUUGUGAUAUUUUUAUGGUAUAAUUAUUUACCAUAUAUUUUUAGAGGCAAGCUACUCAAUGUGUGGGUCGGGUUAUUCGUUCAAAGGUAGAUUAUGGCAUGAUGAUUUUUGCUGAUAAAAGGUUUGCUUCUUUGUCUGAGUCAAUUAUGUAAUAAUAAUAGAAAAACAACUCAAAAGUGAAUAGUGGCUUUUAUAGUACUGAUGAAUAUUCUCUAAGUGAUAUAUCUGUGCAGUUAAGUACUCGAGAAGCUAACAUUAAUUAGAUGUGUUGUUUAGAGGACAAGUUAGAUAUUGUCAUUUGCAAACUGACGAUACGCCAAGAAAAGUAUUGUCUUGAAUGUAGCCGUCAUGAUAAGCGCUCUAAGUUGCCUGGAUGGAUACUUUCACAUUUGCGGGAUGCUCACCUGAACUUAAGUACAGACAUGGCCGUGUAUAUAGCAAAAGAGUGAUGCAGCUAGUGGACCAUUUAGCCCAUGGAUGCAAGGAGAUCACGUGAUGAUAGUGAUCUUAAUGAUAGUCGUUGAUUUUAUUGCAAAUUAUCUUGGAUAUUCAAUUAUGAUGAUGUAAUUAUGUGGUUGGAGUGAAUCUUAGAAUAUCGAAGGUUUUGUAUUUAAAUUUGAUUUUGAGGUUUGAAGAUACUAGUUAAUGUUGAAAAUUUGGAGCUUGAAGAUGCUAAUGUUGAAAAUUUAAUUUUGAAGUUUAAUAUUUAAUAUAUUUUUGAUAUGUUUGUCAAU